GACGAACGCUGGCGGCGUGCUUAACACAUGCAAGUCGAACGGUGAACGAGGGAGCUUGCUCCCUCCGGAUCAGUGGCGAACGGGUGAGUAACACGUGAGCAAUCUGCCCUGGACUCUGGGAUAAGCGUUGGAAACGACGUCUAAUACCGGAUACGAGACGCGAAGGCAUCUUCAGCGUCUGGAAAGAACUUCGGUCCAGGAUGAGCUCGCGGCCUAUCAGGUAGUUGGUGAGGUAACGGCUCACCAAGCCUACGACGGGUAGCCGGCCUGAGAGAGUGACCGGCCACACUGGGACUGAGACACGGCCCAGACUCCUACGGGAGGCAGCAGUGGGGAAUAUUGCACAAUGGGCGCAAGCUUGAUGCAGCAACGCCGCGUGAGGGACGACGGCCUUCGGGUUGUAAACCUCUUUUAGCAGGGAAGAAGCGAAAGUGACGGUACCUGCAGAAAAAGCACCGGCUAACUACGUGCCAGCCGCCGCUGUAAAAC
rnacentral:rRNA from 1 species